rnacentral:lncRNA from 1 species
CUCUCUCCAAGCUAGAAACUGUGGCUCUUUGCUUCUUUUGCUCCUCCUAGUAUAUCUCAUAAUCUGACUAAGCUAUGUAUGAAUGGCAACCAGUGGAGGACUCUCUCGGUCCCUGAGGCAAUCUAGACAAUAGAUCUCUAACCAUCUAUAUCUAACCUGAGAUGUCAUCAAAGGGGUUGGCUGAUAAAGUCUACAAGAGUUUGUGUCCUCCUAGGUCGGCAUGUCUAAGUCUACCUUUCUUUUCUUACUCUGGCCAUGGCAACCUUACCCAAAUUUUGAGUGGGAAAAUAUAAGAGCCUGGGUUCUCCCAGGUAUCUAUAGUAUACUCAUCUACCUCUGCCAUCUUGCAAAGCUCAGUGAUAAGGGAAGGAAAGAGAAGAAAUGUACCUCCCUAGUUCUUGAAAUGCCGUCACUCUAAGAGUACAAUCUCACCUAUAUUAAGAGUAAUGCCAAAGAGAAUACAAGCCACCAUUCACGCUUGUAAAUCUAUGACAAUAGUCAUGUAAGUGCUCGAUGAUACACUACUGCAGAUGAUAUUCAGCCAAAGCCUGGCCUCAGCUGUGAAGUCAUUCAUCAAAAUAUCUCUCUUGGUGGUGGUCUAGAGAACUUCCUUGCCUGGACAUAAUAUAUUUGCCAUAUAGGUCCCUAGCUCGCAUCCUUUUGCUUGGAACUGCUCCAUGUCAGCAUUCAGGAGCCCAUAUAUCUCAUUAAUCUGCUCAACUCCGAAAUUCACUUGCUUACCCCAAAUUGUCAUCACUGGGUUUGUGAGAGAAACCAUGCUAAGGUUUGCAUAGAACUCACAUACCCAAUGCUCAUUGGCAUAGCAGGGGUCCGAGGAAAAACACAUCCACCUGGUAGCAGUGAGUUGGGCAUGGAAUGCUGGGAGAUUCUCCUCUACUUUAUCAAGGCAAAUAUCCCUUUUUGGGAGUAAUUUCAUCCUUGGCAGCUCACCAUAGUAGAGGUUUUGGAAUUCGGCAGCCAUGUACCUGGUAUUGUCAAAAUCUUUCAUCCUUGCGGCUUAGUACCUGUAAGCAAUACAAUCUAGACCAUCAUUUAGCAUUAUCACACAAAAAUCAUGCUAGAUUAAUUAGAUAAACUCAUGUGGUGGUGUUAUAGAAGGUUCUGGGGUGAGAAAUAGUUACGUAAAAAUUUUUGUUAUUACAGACGACUACCCUCAGGUAUGGCGAUCGUAGAGUAAUGACUACAAUCACGAUGUUAUGAUCGCAAUCAUCAAAACCGUAAUUGCGGUACCUAAUAUCGACAAUUCUGCACAUCACUCAAAACAUAUGAUUUUAACCCCAAAUUUGUGUUCUAACUAGGCACAUCAACAUCAUGAUCAAAGAACUUAAGCCUAGAAUACAUGGUUAUAACCCCAAAUUUGAAGAAUUAUCAUUGAACUCAUUAGGGAAUUUAAUCAAACACAUUGUGUACACGUUAAUUUUAACAAUUUUAGGCCUAAAUCAGGGUACUCAAGACUUCCUCAUUGGUGUGUACACCAUCUACAAUAGUUAAUCACCACAAUACCAAAAACAACAUAUAUUUCAUGUUUAAAAUGUUAUUUUAGACUUUUUCCUAAAUUAUAAGUUCUAAGCAUACAAUUGCAUUAAAAAUAAGGGAGUAGAGACAACAUACCAAGUUAGAGGAUGAAAUUAGACUAAAAUCGACACUUGGAUACUCUACGCCAAAAUUUUGGGAGAAUUUGAGCUAGGUGUGUGUGAAAAAAUGGCAGUCGGAUGGUCAUUUAAACUGAUUCUACCGCAAUCGUGGUCCUAGUUCUGUGAUCGCGGACAUGCGGCCUCCAUGAUUGCAUAGGCACGAACCACGAUAACGGUAACUGAGAUCAAAAAUUAGGUCUCUUAAACUCCUAUGUUCAGUCCACACAUGCCAAUUUUAUAAUUUCUUUUUUCAAUUUCAAUCAAAAUUCCUCAUAGCACUAACUUUACAUGGAUUAUGAUGAAUAAAUGCAAAAAUAAAAUAUACUCUAUAAUGCAUAAAAUAAAAGAAUACGGUCCACUUUUUGUGGAUUUAUGCGUUUCUUCCCAUCUUUUGUGGCGAACCACCCUCCCCACUAUCGUUUGUGUUUCCACUUAGAAGAUUUGAAUCUCUAUCCCAACUUUCGCUCACGAUGGAUUGAGAAGCAGAGGGGCAGAAGAUUCAAAUUUUUCCAAGGUGAAGCUACAUAGAGGUGAGGGCAUGACAAUGAUGUUUUUAUCUCACCACUUUGAAGAUUUGAACCUUUUACCCAAAUUCACAUCGAAUUUUUGGUUUGGCUCCUUAGGUAAAAGUGAGCAUAUCAAUAGAACACUAGUUGAAUAUCAGAGGUUGAGGUCCUUGACCAUUGAUAGUGGGGCUUCCAUAUGCUCUUUUGGAGUGUCAAAUCCCAAAAUAUAGGGAUGGUCCUUCUUCUCCCCAUAAUCCAUCAUUUUCCUAGGUGGAUGAAUUCUCAUCACAUUCUCUAAGUGUAAUAUUAAGAAGGGGUUUGAAUGAGGCCUAACCCUUAAUUUCGGGGUUGCCUUCUCUGAAGCACCUUCACCCUUAAAUGAACUUGAGUCAUCAUAAAAGAGGUGCUUUGGUUCUUCUUUUGACUCUAGUACCAUUUUCUUUAUUUUGACAUCUUUAACAUUAUUUGAUUCAGUUGAUUAGGAAAUCACCGAGGAUUCUUUGCAACCAAUCUCAUCAACAUAGCUUGGUUUCUCUUAUUGAUUAACCUCCUCUUGGGAAAUGGGCAAGGUAGUGGUAUUUGCAAGUUUUGGUUCCUUGCCCAUUUCUUCCAUCUUGACAAUUUCCCUUCCGAAUGCCUCAUUGGAUUGAUAUAUGUCUCACACAUUCUCCCCCUUUGUAGUUACCCGAUCCAAAAUAGUUUGAAGCAUUGCCUCAAAACUAUUGGAUCCAGUAUGUUACUCUUCCUUUGUCUCAUCAUAAGACCUAUCAAACUCAUAAGAAGAACUAGUAUUUCGAUUAGCAUAAUAAUAGGAGAAGCAUUUAGUAAAUCACUCCAAUGUCCAUCUCGACCACCACAAAAAAAUAAUGAUACUCCCAAUAAGAUCAAGAUGGUAUUUCCAUAUCUCUUCGGGUAGCAUAUGUGCAAUUCUUCCAAAGUUGGGUCCGUCACAAUAUGGACAUGGAUCAUCCAGAUAGGAUUUUUAACUACCAAAAUUAUAUUUGUCGGAAGAUGCCAUAGAGAAAAGUAAAAUAAAAUAAAAAUCUACCUAACACAAGAAACAAAAGAAAAUUACAAACAAAUAUAUACAAGUUUGAAUUCAAGCAAGUAAGCUAGAAUUUCAAACUAACUUAAUACACCAAAUUGUUCCCCGGCAAUGGUGCCAUUUUUUAUAACGCUCAACUUACACGUCAAUUUUAAGUGCAAGGUGGUUGUCAUCAAUAUAUUUACCCAACUUUGGAGUCGGGGUCGAAUCCACGAGGAACAAUGUGAGUGGCGACUAAAUUAGUUUGAAACGAUAGAUACUAGCUAGAUUUAAACCAAUAGUACAAAAAGAUAAAACUAGGGGGUUUGAAAGGUAUCAUAUUUAUUAUUUCUUUUUGGGUUUUUCGAGAACAAAUUUAGGGCUACGAAUACUUAGAGUCUAGAUAAUUAGGCAUGGAUCUUGGGAUUAUUCUUUCCUAGGGGCAAAAUAUAAAUGGAGACAUGAUAAUUCGAUGCAUGUUCUAAUUAAUGAUGAUGUGGUAGGCUAGGUUGUAAGUCCUUGGGCUAGUUUGUCAAUAUAACCUCAAAGAUUUGACUCAUUGACUCUUUUGAGUACCUAACGAGUGUGUCAUAUAAAGUCACCCAAUACUUCAUUUAGGCAUCCCUAUUUCUAGGAUGAUACCCAAGGAAUAGUCAACUUUAUAAUCACUCUUAUGCCUAAUAUAGUGAAAAAUUAGCAAACUAUGCCAACAAUUAUCUACUAAUGCUUUGGUUCCCACAUCCCUCUUUUAAGGAUGAUGUUGGUUCCUAAUAUUCACCCAAACCCUUCUUUCAAAGAUAGAUUGAACUUUCAAGGGCUUAGGAUUUUCACCCACAAACCCAUUUGAGUAUUUAGGGUUUUCACCCACAAAUCCCAACCAAUUUAAUGAAGCAACAAUAGAACCCAUCAAUCAACACAUUAACAUAUGCACAAAUAAAUCAUAACCCACAUUCAAUUGCACCCUAUUCUAGUAUAAUCCCAAGAGGAAAAUCUAGCUACUCAUAAGAUAAAUAAGUAAAGAUGUUACCCAAAAUCUCUAUUGAUUUGAUUUGAGAAAAUCUAAAUGAAUGUUACUUCAAACUAUAAGAUCCAAUAAAUCCUCAAUGGGAGUUCACUAAUUCUUCACUUGGAAGUGACUCCAAAGUAUUCUUCACCUAAAAUUUAUACAAUAUUGUCUUCUCCAAAAAUGGAGGCUAUAACCCUAGAAAAACGUCUAAAAAUUGGGGAAGAUGGAAUAUAUAAUGAAUAGGGUUUAAGUCUUUCUUUUGUCAAAUUUGGGAUCAGCUAUGUGCAUUUAUAUUUUUGCCCUUGGGCUGUAUUUUUUGCAAAGCCAUGAUCGCAGAGACUUCACCGCGACCGCGAUCAGAGCCACACAUUCGCAGUUGGUUAACCUUCUUGACUGACCAUGAUCGGGGUCCUCAGACCGCGACUGCAGUAACUAAAGUUGUGUCUAUUCCAAGUCUUCAGCUUCACUUCUUUGCUUCCUUUUGAUACUUUUUAGCUCCAAUCCACAUCUUUCCAUCUCAUUAAUAAUGUGCCUGUAAAAUGCGAAUAUUAGUGCAUUCAAUCACAAUUAUGUCUCAUUUAUUCAUUCAAAACUUGGUAAUGUACAUGAAUGUUGAGUGCAAAUGAGUGGUAAAAUCACUACGCAUCAGUCGGCACAUGGUAUGACUCUCUCACCCACUCGUACGCUCAUCAUACGAGUCGUACCCUACCUCUCAUAUCUAUUUUAGUGUCUGAUCUCUCAAGGCUUCAACUUUUUGUUCUUACGACUUCUGCUUACGAGUCGUACCUUCACCAUACGACUCAUGGCCUUCACUUAUAACUACUUGGGACUUCUGUCUUUUCAGGCUUUGAACACUGGUCUGCUUACGGUUUCCCUAUAUAAGUUAUACUUAGACUUUCGACUCGUAUACAUCUGAGACUUCAACUUUGGAUGGUAGCUUUAGAUUUUGUUAUGCUUAUAAUUCCUUGUCACGACUCAUACCUUUAGCAUAUGACUGAGUUGUAUCUUUUCUUUACUUGGUAUUUGGUUAUGUUGUGCUUACGAGUCACCCUACGAUUUGUAUGGUAUGUUAACGACUCGUGAGGUAACUCAUAUCUUGAUCAGACUUUGUCUUUUUAGGCUUUUUUCUUCCAUUUUAAUCCCAAUACUAUCGUAGACCUAUUUUACCUGCAAUAAACACCAAAGUGCAUUAUAUCUACUAAACAACCUAAGUACAUGAUAAAUUUAAGGUUUUAAGCAUCAAAAGUGUCGUGUUUCCACGACACAUCACUAGGACCUAAGAAUUAAUGGAAUAAUUCGAAUAAUUCCUAAAACCUAGGUGCUCUAUUAGGUGUGCCUGCAUUUGUAGAAAAUAAAAUUCAAGUCAAGAAAAUAAUAAUCGGAAUAAGAAAUAUCACAACAAUCACAUUAUUUGAUUUCAAACAGUAAAUGUUACAAUCUCUAUAAAUCCUCUAAUUCUACUUUUCAAAUAUAAAUUUUGGAGCCUUUUACCUUGAUUUUGAAUUUGAUGGAUUUGAUCUUGGCUUGUGAACUUGUUGGAUAUGAUCUUGACUUGUGAAUUUGGAUUCAAGAGUCUUUGAGCUUAAUCUUGAAUCUUUGUCUUGAUCUUGAGUUGUGCAUAAACUAGAGUGUGUGAAUUUUUGAAUUUGUAGCUUGUAGAGAAAUAUAUGGGUUUGAUCCAUGAUCUCCCUCUUGCUUCUUCAUAGAAUUGUUCUUCCUUUUUUGAAUUAUGAAACCUCUAUUUAUAUAGUAGGAUAGAAGAAUAGUGAUGAGGAAAGGCUUCUUUCGGCCAAUCAAAUUAGAGUAAUAUGACAACAUUUGAUUGGUCGAUAUAUGUCACUUAUACAAAUGGUGUAUUUUUAUUGGUCUUUGAUUUCACUAGGCAUGAUGCAUCAUUUUAACACGUGUCAUGAUUCUAUUGGCUCUUUCGCUUGACUUGACAUGCCACGUCAUUUGCCAUGAGGCACCAAAUUAGACUUCUAGAAUAAGAUGAUAUAUUGGGCGUAGCAUAGUAGGCUCAUCAUUUGUAGCCUAAAUUAGUGCAUUAGCCCAAUAAAAUUUGAGCUUUAGUUAAGUCCAUAUUUAUUGGACUUAAAUCAAUAGUCCAAUUAUAUUAAUUCAUAAUAUUUGUUCAAACUAAUAUAUUUAAAGUUUAUAUGAUCACAAUUCACAGUAACAUUUUUCUGUUAAUUUGUUAGGAAGGUAUAAUUCUUCGUCUAUAUAGAGACAUUAAGAUGAAUCAAGCAUAUAUUGCAAUAUAUGAAAAGGACUAUUAAUACGGGUCUGUUUUGUACCAACAAAAAUUGUGUAGAACUUGUUGGCCAUAUAGAUGCAGGUUAUUUAUCUGAUCCACAUUAAUCUCAAUCUCAAAUAGGCUAAUAUUUACAUGUAGAGGUAUUGCUAUAUCAUGAUGAUCUACAAAGUAGUCCAUCAUUGUUACUUCUUCAAAUCAUGUUGAGAUAAUAGUUAUUCAUAAAGAAAGUAGAGAAGUUUUUAUGGUUGAGAUGGGUGAUAUAUUUCAUCAAAGAGGUAUGUGGUUUGAAGUGUCAUAUCAAGGCACUCACAGUCCUGUAUGAAGACAAUGAUGCAUGUUCAAUCCAAUUAAAAUAAAGCUCUAUAAAAAGAGAUAGAACAAAGCACAUCUCGCCAAAGUUAUUCUUUACACAUGAUCUUCAAAGGAAUUGUGAUAUUGAUGUACAAUAAAUUCGUAAGUGACAAUUUAUCAAACAUGUGUACUAAAUCUUUAUCAACUUCAACUCAUGAGAUCAUGUUACAUAAGAUUAGAAUAUGAAGAAUUAACCAACUGAAUUGUGUUCUUCAGCGGAGGAGUAAGAGUCGCAUUGUACUCUUUUUUUCUUAACCAAGGUUUUAUCCCACUAAAUUUUUCUAGUAAGGUUUCUAAUAAGGCAGCACUCAAAUGUGCAUUCAGUAGAUUAUCUUUUAUAAUAAUAUUCAAGGGGAAGUGUUGUAAAAUAUGUGGAUACUAUGUAUGCCAUAAUGAGAAAUUGUGGCCAAUAAAAUAAUUGGCAUUCAAGUAUGGUAGCUUGUUGUACUGUAGCUUACAUUAAUGACUGUAAGAUAUAAACUUGGCAGCGAAGUACUUUUGGCUUAUAUAAAGCCACUUCCCCUAUAUUGUAAUUCAUACUAAGAACGAACAAAAAGAAAAGUAAUAAGACUAGAUAGUUCUCCCUCUAUCUCUACUUGUUGUCAUUUUGUUUUGUCUUAGGCUUUUAUUAUAUAACAUGAUCGAUAAAUUUAAAAAUAGCGUUCUGAUGUUUUUACUUGUAACAUGUUUGAAUUUCAAGAUAAUUUUUUUCUAUUUUAAUUAAAGAUAUUUUUAUCCAAAUUUUAUUUUUAUAUUAAAAAAGUAAUUAUUUUUCAAAGAGCGAGUUGUUAUGUGAUAAGAAAAGGGGAGAUGUAAUUAAAAGGAACAAAUGAGUUUUUCAAGUUUUUAAAAAAAAAAAAAAAUGGUGGUCUAGAGAACUUCCUUGCCUGGACAUAAUAUAUUUGCCAUAUAGGUCCCUAGCUCGCAUCCUUUUGCUUGGAACUGCUCCAUGUCAGCAUUCAGGAGCCCAUAUAUCUCAUUAAUCUGCUCAACUCCGAAAUUCACUUGCUUACCCCAAAUUGUCAUCACUGGGUUUGUGAGAGAAACCAUGCUAAGGUUUGCAUAGAACUCACAUACCCAAUGCUCAUUGGCAUAGCAGGGGUCCGAGGAAAAACACAUCCACCUGGUAGCAGUGAGUUGGGCAUGGAAUGCUGGGAGAUUCUCCUCUACUUUAUCAAGGCAAAUAUCCCUUUUUGGGAGUAAUUUCAUCCUUGGCAGCUCACCAUAGUAGAGGUUUUGGAAUUCGGCAGCCAUGUACCUGGUAUUGUCAAAAUCUUUCAUCCUUGCGGCUUAGUACCUGUAAGCAAUACAAUCUAGACCAUCAUUUAGCAUUAUCACACAAAAAUCAUGCUAGAUUAAUUAGAUAAACUCAUGUGGUGGUGUUAUAGAAGGUUCUGGGGUGAGAAAUAGUUACGUAAAAAUUUUUGUUAUUACAGACGACUACCCUCAGGUAUGGCGAUCGUAGAGUAAUGACUACAAUCACGAUGUUAUGAUCGCAAUCAUCAAAACCGUAAUUGCGGUACCUAAUAUCGACAAUUCUGCACAUCACUCAAAACAUAUGAUUUUAACCCCAAAUUUGUGUUCUAACUAGGCACAUCAACAUCAUGAUCAAAGAACUUAAGCCUAGAAUACAUGGUUAUAACCCCAAAUUUGAAGAAUUAUCAUUGAACUCAUUAGGGAAUUUAAUCAAACACAUUGUGUACACGUUAAUUUUAACAAUUUUAGGCCUAAAUCAGGGUACUCAAGACUUCCUCAUUGGUGUGUACACCAUCUACAAUAGUUAAUCACCACAAUACCAAAAACAACAUAUAUUUCAUGUUUAAAAUGUUAUUUUAGACUUUUUCCUAAAUUAUAAGUUCUAAGCAUACAAUUGCAUUAAAAAUAAGGGAGUAGAGACAACAUACCAAGUUAGAGGAUGAAAUUAGACUAAAAUCGACACUUGGAUACUCUACGCCAAAAUUUUGGGAGAAUUUGAGCUAGGUGUGUGUGAAAAAAUGGCAGUCGGAUGGUCAUUUAAACUGAUUCUACCGCAAUCGUGGUCCUAGUUCUGUGAUCGCGGACAUGCGGCCUCCAUGAUUGCAUAGGCACGAACCACGAUAACGGUAACUGAGAUCAAAAAUUAGGUCUCUUAAACUCCUAUGUUCAGUCCACACAUGCCAAUUUUAUAAUUUCUUUUUUCAAUUUCAAUCAAAAUUCCUCAUAGCACUAACUUUACAUGGAUUAUGAUGAAUAAAUGCAAAAAUAAAAUAUACUCUAUAAUGCAUAAAAUAAAAGAAUACGGUCCACUUUUUGUGGAUUUAUGCGUUUCUUCCCAUCUUUUGUGGCGAACCACCCUCCCCACUAUCGUUUGUGUUUCCACUUAGAAGAUUUGAAUCUCUAUCCCAACUUUCGCUCACGAUGGAUUGAGAAGCAGAGGGGCAGAAGAUUCAAAUUUUUCCAAGGUGAAGCUACAUAGAGGUGAGGGCAUGACAAUGAUGUUUUUAUCUCACCACUUUGAAGAUUUGAACCUUUUACCCAAAUUCACAUCGAAUUUUUGGUUUGGCUCCUUAGGUAAAAGUGAGCAUAUCAAUAGAACACUAGUUGAAUAUCAGAGGUUGAGGUCCUUGACCAUUGAUAGUGGGGCUUCCAUAUGCUCUUUUGGAGUGUCAAAUCCCAAAAUAUAGGGAUGGUCCUUCUUCUCCCCAUAAUCCAUCAUUUUCCUAGGUGGAUGAAUUCUCAUCACAUUCUCUAAGUGUAAUAUUAAGAAGGGGUUUGAAUGAGGCCUAACCCUUAAUUUCGGGGUUGCCUUCUCUGAAGCACCUUCACCCUUAAAUGAACUUGAGUCAUCAUAAAAGAGGUGCUUUGGUUCUUCUUUUGACUCUAGUACCAUUUUCUUUAUUUUGACAUCUUUAACAUUAUUUGAUUCAGUUGAUUAGGAAAUCACCGAGGAUUCUUUGCAACCAAUCUCAUCAACAUAGCUUGGUUUCUCUUAUUGAUUAACCUCCUCUUGGGAAAUGGGCAAGGUAGUGGUAUUUGCAAGUUUUGGUUCCUUGCCCAUUUCUUCCAUCUUGACAAUUUCCCUUCCGAAUGCCUCAUUGGAUUGAUAUAUGUCUCACACAUUCUCCCCCUUUGUAGUUACCCGAUCCAAAAUAGUUUGAAGCAUUGCCUCAAAACUAUUGGAUCCAGUAUGUUACUCUUCCUUUGUCUCAUCAUAAGACCUAUCAAACUCAUAAGAAGAACUAGUAUUUCGAUUAGCAUAAUAAUAGGAGAAGCAUUUAGUAAAUCACUCCAAUGUCCAUCUCGACCACCACAAAAAAAUAAUGAUACUCCCAAUAAGAUCAAGAUGGUAUUUCCAUAUCUCUUCGGGUAGCAUAUGUGCAAUUCUUCCAAAGUUGGGUCCGUCACAAUAUGGACAUGGAUCAUCCAGAUAGGAUUUUUAACUACCAAAAUUAUAUUUGUCGGAAGAUGCCAUAGAGAAAAGUAAAAUAAAAUAAAAAUCUACCUAACACAAGAAACAAAAGAAAAUUACAAACAAAUAUAUACAAGUUUGAAUUCAAGCAAGUAAGCUAGAAUUUCAAACUAACUUAAUACACCAAAUUGUUCCCCGGCAAUGGUGCCAUUUUUUAUAACGCUCAACUUACACGUCAAUUUUAAGUGCAAGGUGGUUGUCAUCAAUAUAUUUACCCAACUUUGGAGUCGGGGUCGAAUCCACGAGGAACAAUGUGAGUGGCGACUAAAUUAGUUUGAAACGAUAGAUACUAGCUAGAUUUAAACCAAUAGUACAAAAAGAUAAAACUAGGGGGUUUGAAAGGUAUCAUAUUUAUUAUUUCUUUUUGGGUUUUUCGAGAACAAAUUUAGGGCUACGAAUACUUAGAGUCUAGAUAAUUAGGCAUGGAUCUUGGGAUUAUUCUUUCCUAGGGGCAAAAUAUAAAUGGAGACAUGAUAAUUCGAUGCAUGUUCUAAUUAAUGAUGAUGUGGUAGGCUAGGUUGUAAGUCCUUGGGCUAGUUUGUCAAUAUAACCUCAAAGAUUUGACUCAUUGACUCUUUUGAGUACCUAACGAGUGUGUCAUAUAAAGUCACCCAAUACUUCAUUUAGGCAUCCCUAUUUCUAGGAUGAUACCCAAGGAAUAGUCAACUUUAUAAUCACUCUUAUGCCUAAUAUAGUGAAAAAUUAGCAAACUAUGCCAACAAUUAUCUACUAAUGCUUUGGUUCCCACCUCCCUCUUUUAAUGAUGAUGUUGGGUUCCCACAUCCCUCUUUUAAGGAUGAUGUUGGUUCCUAAUAUUCACCCAAACCCUUCUUUCAAAGAUAGAUUGAACUUUCAAGGGCUUAGGAUUUUCACCCACAAACCCAUUUGAGUAUUUAGGGUUUUCACCCACAAAUCCCAACCAAUUUAAUGAAGCAACAAUAGAACCCAUCAAUCAACACAUUAACAUAUGCACAAAUAAAUCAUAACCCACAUUCAAUUGCACCCUAUUCUAGUAUAAUCCCAAGAGGAAAAUCUAGCUACUCAUAAGAUAAAUAAGUAAAGAUGUUACCCAAAAUCUCUAUUGAUUUGAUUUGAGAAAAUCUAAAUGAAUGUUACUUCAAACUAUAAGAUCCAAUAAAUCCUCAAUGGGAGUUCACUAAUUCUUCACUUGGAAGUGACUCCAAAGUAUUCUUCACCUAAAAUUUAUACAAUAUUGUCUUCUCCAAAAAUGGAGGCUAUAACCCUAGAAAAACGUCUAAAAAUUGGGGAAGAUGGAAUAUAUAAUGAAUAGGGUUUAAGUCUUUCUUUUGUCAAAUUUGGGAUCAGCUAUGUGCAUUUAUAUUUUUGCCCUUGGGCUGUAUUUUUUGCAAAGCCAUGAUCGCAGAGACUUCACCGCGACCGCGAUCAGAGCCACACAUUCGCAGUUGGUUAACCUUCUUGACUGACCAUGAUCGGGGUCCUCAGACCGCGACUGCAGUAACUAAAGUUGUGUCUAUUCCAAGUCUUCAGCUUCACUUCUUUGCUUCCUUUUGAUACUUUUUAGCUCCAAUCCACAUCUUUCCAUCUCAUUAAUAAUGUGCCUGUAAAAUGCGAAUAUUAGUGCAUUCAAUCACAAUUAUGUCUCAUUUAUUCAUUCAAAACUUGGUAAUGUACAUGAAUGUUGAGUGCAAAUGAGUGGUAAAAUCACUACGCAUCAGUCGGCACAUGGUAUGACUCUCUCACCCACUCGUACGCUCAUCAUACGAGUCGUACCCUACCUCUCAUAUCUAUUUUAGUGUCUGAUCUCUCAAGGCUUCAACUUUUUGUUCUUACGACUUCUGCUUACGAGUCGUACCUUCACCAUACGACUCAUGGCCUUCACUUAUAACUACUUGGGACUUCUGUCUUUUCAGGCUUUGAACACUGGUCUGCUUACGGUUUCCCUAUAUAAGUUAUACUUAGACUUUCGACUCGUAUACAUCUGAGACUUCAACUUUGGAUGGUAGCUUUAGAUUUUGUUAUGCUUAUAAUUCCUUGUCACGACUCAUACCUUUAGCAUAUGACUGAGUUGUAUCUUUUCUUUACUUGGUAUUUGGUUAUGUUGUGCUUACGAGUCACCCUACGAUUUGUAUGGUAUGUUAACGACUCGUGAGGUAACUCAUAUCUUGAUCAGACUUUGUCUUUUUAGGCUUUUUUCUUCCAUUUUAAUCCCAAUACUAUCGUAGACCUAUUUUACCUGCAAUAAACACCAAAGUGCAUUAUAUCUACUAAACAACCUAAGUACAUGAUAAAUUUAAGGUUUUAAGCAUCAAAAGUGUCGUGUUUCCACGACACAUCACUAGGACCUAAGAAUUAAUGGAAUAAUUCGAAUAAUUCCUAAAACCUAGGUGCUCUAUUAGGUGUGCCUGCAUUUGUAGAAAAUAAAAUUCAAGUCAAGAAAAUAAUAAUCGGAAUAAGAAAUAUCACAACAAUCACAUUAUUUGAUUUCAAACAGUAAAUGUUACAAUCUCUAUAAAUCCUCUAAUUCUACUUUUCAAAUAUAAAUUUUGGAGCCUUUUACCUUGAUUUUGAAUUUGAUGGAUUUGAUCUUGGCUUGUGAACUUGUUGGAUAUGAUCUUGACUUGUGAAUUUGGAUUCAAGAGUCUUUGAGCUUAAUCUUGAAUCUUUGUCUUGAUCUUGAGUUGUGCAUAAACUAGAGUGUGUGAAUUUUUGAAUUUGUAGCUUGUAGAGAAAUAUAUGGGUUUGAUCCAUGAUCUCCCUCUUGCUUCUUCAUAGAAUUGUUCUUCCUUUUUUGAAUUAUGAAACCUCUAUUUAUAUAGUAGGAUAGAAGAAUAGUGAUGAGGAAAGGCUUCUUUCGGCCAAUCAAAUUAGAGUAAUAUGACAACAUUUGAUUGGUCGAUAUAUGUCACUUAUACAAAUGGUGUAUUUUUAUUGGUCUUUGAUUUCACUAGGCAUGAUGCAUCAUUUUAACACGUGUCAUGAUUCUAUUGGCUCUUUCGCUUGACUUGACAUGCCACGUCAUUUGCCAUGAGGCACCAAAUUAGACUUCUAGAAUAAGAUGAUAUAUUGGGCGUAGCAUAGUAGGCUCAUCAUUUGUAGCCUAAAUUAGUGCAUUAGCCCAAUAAAAUUUGAGCUUUAGUUAAGUCCAUAUUUAUUGGACUUAAAUCAAUAGUCCAAUUAUAUUAAUUCAUAAUAUUUGUUCAAACUAAUAUAUUUAAAGUUUAUAUGAUCACAAUUCACAGUAACAUUUUUCUGUUAAUUUGUUAGGAAGGUAUAAUUCUUCGUCUAUAUAGAGACAUUAAGAUGAAUCAAGCAUAUAUUGCAAUAUAUGAAAAGGACUAUUAAUACGGGUCUGUUUUGUACCAACAAAAAUUGUGUAGAACUUGUUGGCCAUAUAGAUGCAGGUUAUUUAUCUGAUCCACAUUAAUCUCAAUCUCAAAUAGGCUAAUAUUUACAUGUAGAGGUAUUGCUAUAUCAUGAUGAUCUACAAAGUAGUCCAUCAUUGUUACUUCUUCAAAUCAUGUUGAGAUAAUAGUUAUUCAUAAAGAAAGUAGAGAAGUUUUUAUGGUUGAGAUGGGUGAUAUAUUUCAUCAAAGAGGUAUGUGGUUUGAAGUGUCAUAUCAAGGCACUCACAGUCCUGUAUGAAGACAAUGAUGCAUGUUCAAUCCAAUUAAAAUAAAGCUCUAUAAAAAGAGAUAGAACAAAGCACAUCUCGCCAAAGUUAUUCUUUACACAUGAUCUUCAAAGGAAUUGUGAUAUUGAUGUACAAUAAAUUCGUAAGUGACAAUUUAUCAAACAUGUGUACUAAAUCUUUAUCAACUUCAACUCAUGAGAUCAUGUUACAUAAGAUUAGAAUAUGAAGAAUUAACCAACUGAAUUGUGUUCUUCAGCGGAGGAGUAAGAGUCGCAUUGUACUCUUUUUUUCUUAACCAAGGUUUUAUCCCACUAAAUUUUUCUAGUAAGGUUUCUAAUAAGGCAGCACUCAAAUGUGCAUUCAGUAGAUUAUCUUUUAUAAUAAUAUUCAAGGGGAAGUGUUGUAAAAUAUGUGGAUACUAUGUAUGCCAUAAUGAGAAAUUGUGGCCAAUAAAAUAAUUGGCAUUCAAGUAUGGUAGCUUGUUGUACUGUAGCUUACAUUAAUGACUGUAAGAUAUAAACUUGGCAGCGAAGUACUUUUGGCUUAUAUAAAGCCACUUCCCCUAUAUUGUAAUUCAUACUAAGAACGAACAAAAAGAAAAGUAAUAAGACUAGAUAGUUCUCCCUCUAUCUCUACUUGUUGUCAUUUUGUUUUGUCUUAGGCUUUUAUUAUAUAACAUGAUCGAUAAAUUUAAAAAUAGCGUUCUGAUGUUUUUACUUGUAACAUGUUUGAAUUUCAAGAUAAUUUUUUUCUAUUUUAAUUAAAGAUAUUUUUAUCCAAAUUUUAUUUUUAUAUUAAAAAAGUAAUUAUUUUUCAAAGAGCGAGUUGUUAUGUGAUAAGAAAAGGGGAGAUGUAAUUAAAAGGAACAAAUGAGUUUUUCAAGUUUUUAAAAAAAAAAAAAAAUUGGGUAAAAGUGAUAAGUUUCUUUCAACUAUCCUUAAACUUUUUAUUUUUACAUUUUUACCCAAACAAUUGUAGAAGUUGUCUCAACAACUAUUAUAAUUGUUCGAUAAUUAUGCGCAAUUAUAGGACAAUUGAAUAGUUGUUGGGACAAAUAAUGUAGAUGUUCGACAAUUGUGUGCAGUUAUAUGUUAUGGGACUCAUUGUCCCUUUUAAUUAAUUAAAAACUUAAAAAGUUUCCUGACCUCAAUUUUUCUCAUCACCUCUAAUCUUUAAGCUUAUGAAUUCGAAUCAGAAAUAGCAUGAAAAAAUAGGGAAAAAAUCUAUAUAAACAUCCUUAGAUAGUUAAAUGCAAGUUAUAGAAAAAAAAUUUAGUUCGUAACUUGUAGCAAAAAUUCAGUAUAAAAAAGGAAAAAUGAAAACGAUUUUUUUAAAUUUAGAGAAAAUACUCUAUUACCACCUUGAAUUAUAUGUGAAAAGGUUGAGACACAUCCGGACUUUAGAAGGAUCUUAUUGCCCCCUGGACUAAUUAAAACCGUAUUUUUUACAACCUUAGCGCCUACGUGGCACAUACGUGGCACAACAAACUGAAGGGUCCAUGUAGGCAUACGUGUGUGCCACGUAGGUACUAAGGUUGUCAAAAAUAUAAUUUUAAUUAGUCCAGAAGGGUAGUAGGACCCUCCUAAAGUUCGGGUCUAUCUCAGUCUUUUUGCAUAGUUCAAAGUGGUAAUAAAGCAUUUUCCUUAAAUUUAAAAAAAUAAAUACAAAUUACAUAUAAGAAAAAAAAAUGAUUUUCUAUCCGUCAAAAAAAUGGCAGUUAUUAUCAGGAUAACAAUCAUCCCUUUUUUUUUCUCUCACAAAGAGUUCUCCCCUUCAUUAACAACAUACUCUAUUUUUGGUUAAAUCAUCAUUGUCAAACAUUGAUCUUUUCUUCUUCUUCACAAAUUUUCUUUUAAAUUAUUUCGCCAUAUUUGUCUUCUUCAAAAGUAAUACUGGUAUAAGUUUUUUUGAAUCUGAAUUAAGAUAGAUGGUGAUAAUUUACAUUCUCUACUUGUGAUGCAUGGAGGAAGAUGGGAUGUGACCGGUGUUUUUAAUCCGUGAAAAUUAUACAAUCUAAUAUUCAUGUAUUAUUUUAAACAAUUAAGUUGAAAUCAGUUUAUAAAUAAUAAAUACAUAUUUUAAAUGAUUUUUAAUUUUUGGGGUCUCCAUUUAUUGAAUUGGUAAAUAAGAUUCUACAUAUAAAUGAUGUAUUCUUAUAACUAUUUUUAGUGUAUGAAAAUGAUACAUAAUACAAUAUCCAUGAAUUAGUUUAAUAAAUUUCGUUGAAGUAAGUUUAUAUAUCUGUUUCAUACUUAAAUAAUUUUUUUGAGUUCUCAAUGUGUGGAAUUGAUAUUAAAAUUGACAUCGACAAAAUUUCGUAUAUGUCAUAUUUGUAUGAAAUGAAUUUUAUGAACCUGAUAAUUGCUAAUAUUUUUAGUAGAUGGAAUUGGUAUUGAAUUAAAAGUCAAAAAUCUAGAUAAUACUUAUGUACGAAUGCUUAAUUUUAUAUUUCAUAUAAUGAAAUAGAUAUACAAAUUAUUUUACUUAAUCUUUUUUUAAUAAAGUUAUUUACAAACUCUAUGGAUUGAGAUAUUUAAUUAAGUAGAUAUACUUUAUAUUAUAAAUUGAAUGAAAUCGAUUUAUAAAGUGAUUUCGUCAUAUUUGUAUGAAAUCUGUAUGAAAUAGAUAUAUAAACUGGUGUCUAUGGAUUGUGAUAUUCAAUUCAGAUGAUAUCAGUUUAUAUAUCCAUUCCAUACACUAUGUGCUUAUCUCUUUGAAUUAAAAUUUUAUCUCAUCUACUUUCGUAUUAAAUUAAGAUUGAAUAAACACGAACUUUGUCAUUUUUCAUACAAAAAAAAUCAAAAUUUAUAAAAAAAAAUGACAGUACAUUUGGUUCUUCAAUAAUGGAAGAAGUAAGAAAAAUGUUAUAGUUAAAAGAUGAAAUCUAUGAUUAUUUAUGUGAUUAUCUAUGGAAGAUUUUGAUGAAUUUUGAGAAAAUAUAUGUGAAAAAAAUAUAGAAUAAGAUGAAGUGAGAAAAGGGAGAGAGAAUGCGUAUCUUGUGAGAGAGAAUGGCAAAUUGAGAGUUUUUUAAAAAAGGUAAGAAGGAUAACACGUGAAGAUAUAAUAUUGACCAUAUUUUACUCUUUUCAUAAUUAUCAACACAGUUAUUAAGGAGAAAUUGAAUACUAAACCCUAAAAAAAAGGAGUUAUUUUUACUUUAAAAUGUUUAACCAUUUUUUUUUUAAAAAAUUAGUUUGUUUAAAAAGUUGCUACAACUUACAACUAAAUUCUUAAUAAAAUAAUUAUCUAAAAAGAUUGCUAUAACUUGCAAUAAACAAUCUAAUAAAUGUAUAUGAGAUCAUUUUCUUUAUAUAAUUAUCUCAUAUACAUUUAUUAGAUUGUUUAUUGCAACUUGUAGCAACACUAUUAGAUAAUUAUUUUAUUAAAGUUUUAAUUGCAAGUUAUAACAACUUUUUAAAAAGCUAAUUUAUUUAUUUUGUUAAAAAAAUCGGUCAAAUAUUUUUUAAGACUCCUUUUUGGGGGUUUAGUAUUCAAUAUCUCCUAAAUAAAUGUGUUGAUAAUUAUGAAAGGAGUAAAAUGUGGUUAAUAUUAUAUCUUCAUUUAUUAUCAUUCUUAUCUUUUCAAAAAAGUCUCAAGUUUUUUCUAAAACAACUUUAUUGAAACAAUAUUUUUUUGCCAAUAUCACACAUUUCAUCUUAAUUAUACUUCUUUUAAAAAAAAAAAAAAUCAUCUUCAUAAAAUAUCUUCCUUUGGUGUAUUAUUUAAGUAUCAACUUUGAUAUUUAUCAUAAAAUUUUAUCUAUCAUACAAUUCUAUCUUUGAGGGUUCAAUUUUGUUUCAUUUUAUCAAGUUUUUUUGUUUGAAUUUUAGUAUAUAUUCUUAUUAUCCGUUGAUUUCAUCAGUUGUACUCUUUCUUCAUCCAAAAUUGACUUCAUCUUCUUCUGCCAGAAAGCAAACACUAAUAUCAAUCAUGACUAAUACUGAUUUUUUUUUAUUAUAAAAAAAAUUAUAUGAUAUCAAACAAUUACCAAUUAAUUUACUUUCAUUAUGUACGUGGUAGUUUUUCAUGCAAUAUCCAUUACAUACACUAAAAAAAUUAUGUAACAUACAACAUAAUUUUUCUUAUCAAUUGUCACAUUCAUAAAUCUCAUUCAAUACAAAUGUGACAUAUGUGAAACGUCAUCGAUAUCAUUUUAAUAUCAAUUUAAUACAUUGAUAACUCAAAAAAAAUAUUACUUUAGUACGAAAUGAGUAUAUAAACUGAUUUCAACGCAAUUUAUUAAAUAAUUCAUUGAUAUUAUAUUGUGUACUAUACUAUUUUCAUCCUCUAAAAAUAGUUAUAAGAAUACAUCAUUUGUAUGUAGAAUCUUAUAUACCAAUAUCAUAAAUUAAGACACCAAAAAUAAAAAAAAUCUAUUAAAAUAUGGCUUUAUUAUAUAUAAAUUGAUUUUAACUUGAUCGUUUAAACUAAUAUAUGAAUACUAGAUUGCAUAUAUCACAGAUUAAAAAUAAAUUAUUAAUAUAUAGUAUUUAUUGACAUUAGUUUUCAUGGAGUAAUUCCACCACUAAUAUUAUUGCAAAUUCAAAAUCCAUGAAUUAGAAAUUAUUAUUAUUAGAAGAAGAAGAAGAAGACAAUUAGAGUGAAAUUUUUUUAAAAAAAAUAGUGAUAAAGAAGAAAAAUUCUGUGUUGAUGAUGAAGAAUUGAAAAAAAAAAUGUUGAUUGUUAUGAAGAAGGAGAAAGUGAUAUAGUUAAAGAAAGAGAAAAUUGAUUGAGAGAAAAUAAAGGGGAUGAUGAUAUCCUAAUGAUAACUAUCAUUCCUUUUUAUUGGUAUGAAAUCUCUUUUUUCUUAUAUAAAAAUUAUUUUUUAUUUUUAAAAAUAAAAUAAAAAAUAUUUUUUUUUCAUUUUUUAUUAACUCGCAAACUUAAAAUUUUUACUAUCAAUGAAAGGAUAUUUAUUUGCAUUUUCCCCCCUAUAUUUUUGAGUUAUUUUUGGAUCCAUGGUCCAUUUGCAAUUACAUAUCCAAAUAGUGGCGAGCCCAUUCUAUUUGGAAAAGGACAUGGCAUGGUUAUUUUAAAAAAAAAUAGUUCAUAAUUGAAAAGGUGAACAAUCUUAACCAGUCAGAUCAAUUUAAUAUCUUUUUAGCCAUUUGGCCUAAUUGGGCACAUGCAAUCUGUAUACUUAAUUAAUAUACUUUUAUAUUAUAUUGAUACACUUUUUGUUUUUUUAAAAAAGGAAAUUUUAUGCAAACACAUACAGUCCCUAUACCCAAUUGAUACUCUUUUAUACCACAUUAAUACAGUUGUAUACUGCGUUGAUACACUGGCAGUGUCCAUAUACUCAAUUGAUACUCUCUUAUACUAGAUUGAUACAUUUUUAGAAUGCAUGUAGAAACUAUAUAGAGUCGUAUAAAAUAUGUAUCCAAAUAAUAAUUGUAGUUAAAAAUUGUAUAGAAUGUGUAUAAAAAUGGUAUAAUUAUUAUAUAGAAUAUGUAUAUGUAUAGAAACUAUAUCAUUAUUAUAUAUAAAUAUAUAUCUUUAACAAUUGUAUUAUAUUAAAAGUAUAUGUUAUUGUAUUUUAUUGUAUAAAUAAGUAAAACUAAAUAAAAUAAUUAAUAUGUUAUUUUAAUAAUAUUGAUAAAUACAAAAUAACCUUGAAAAAAAUUAAAUAGUAAUUGACUUGUCUGUUGUUAUUUGUUAAGUUUGUGGUGUAAUGACUUUUUAUUCAAAUAAUAUGAGUAUCUAUUACAAUCGGGGAAAGUAAUUAGCAUUAUUAAUGAUGCCCACUCCCAGAUGCCACUCUUUACCCACGCCAAAUGGUCAUUCGGUUGGAAUUAGUUAUGCCGAGUGGCUAUUUACCGGGGUUUAGAAUUUAAUUGCUAGUUUUGUAUCCAAUUCCCUUCUAUUUUUCCGGUGAAACUUUAUUAUUGGGCCAUUGUUGCCUUUGCCAACUUCUUUGGUUCUAAUACAGCCGACCCGCCACCAUAUCUGCUCGGCUUCUUCUUCCUCUCUCUCAGUCAUUCAUUGAUGUAUAUUUCUGUAUAUAAUUGUGUUAAAUUCAGUGAAAGCUGACACCAAAAGUUCUCUCCCUGAAGCUGUUUGAUAAAAUUCCUAUAAGGAUUCUCGAUUUCAAAUUCGCUCUACAAUGUAAUCACCCUUAACCCUUCAUUCGAAUGGCGUGUAGUUGCAUUCCCUAUUCUCCAUUUUUGCCUUCAUUUCCCCAACAAGACAAAACUCAUUAUUAUCGGAAAAAUACAACUUCGUUAAUGAUUUCCUGCAAUUCUGAAAGCCCCAAAACAGAAGAAGAGAAGAAAACAAGGACAAAUCAACUAGGUUUACUUAAUCUUUCUGUUACACUCACUGUAAUAUCAGCUUCACUUGUUCGACCUGCAAAUGCAGCAAAAGUAUCUGAAAAGAGGCAGCGUUCGACGAAAAAAUCUGAAGUUUUAACACCACAAGAGUUGAAAAAAUGGUCAGAAGGUCUUCCGACUGUGAGUAAUAGGUUACCUUAUACAGAAAUAUUGGAUUUGAAAAAGGAAGGGAAACUUAAGCAUAUAAUUAAACCACCUAAUGUUGGUUUAAAGCAAAGGCCCGAGGUAGUUUUAGCUGUUUUAGAGGAUUCUAAGGUUGUUAGAAUUGUUUUACCUUCUGUCGAAAGUGAUCCAAGAUUUUGGGCUGAAUGGGAUGAGUUAAAACUUGAUGGACUUUGUAUGAAUGCAUAUACUCCACCAUUGAAGAAACCUGAGCUUCCGUGGCCUUAUUUAGGGUUCUUGUCAAAGAUUCCAGUUUGGUUGUUUUCUUUUGUGAAGGCUAAGCCACAGUCGAAAAGGGCGUUGGAGUUGAAGAGGGCGAGAGAAGAAUUGAAGAGAAGGCGAAAACAGGAGUUGGCGAAGAUAAGGAGUGAGAGGGAGAGGAUGGAGAACGCAAUAAAAUUGCAGAAGAAAAUGGAAGAGAGUAAAAGGAAAAGAGAGUUGAAGAAAAUGAGGUAUGAGGAGUCGUUGCGUCAAGCGAGUAGUAGUUCUCAGGAUAUGGCAAGAAUGUGGGAAAACUUAGCUAGUGAUUCAAAUGUUUCCACUGCUCUUGGUUUGGUUUUCUUCUAUAUAUUUUAUAGAACUGUUGUAUUUAGCUAUAGGAGGCAGAAAAAGGAUUAUGAGGAUAGGUUGAAGAUAGAGAAAGCAGAUGCUGAGGAGAAAAAGAAGAUGAGGGAAUUGGAGAGGGAAAUGGAAGGGCUUGAGGGUGUUGAUGAUGACGACGAAGAAGGAAGGAAAGGAGAGGAAAAUCCUUAUAUGAAGAUGGCUAUGCAAUUUAUGAAGUCCGGUGCUCGUGUUCGAAGAGCACGCAAUAAGAAACUCCCCCAGUAUUUAGAGAGAGGUGUUGAUGUUAAGUUCUCUGAUGUUGCUGGGCUUGGAAAAAUUAGGGAGGAGCUUGAGGAAAUUGUUAAGUUCUUCACCCACGGGGAGAUGUAUCGCAGGCGAGGAGUCAAAAUACCAGGUUAGAUGCAGAUAUUGAUUUUUAGGGGUCUUCUUGAAUGUGGGUUCCUAUUUGAGUUUGUUGUUUCCUUUUCUUUCUAUGUCUGAUCAGGAUGAAUUAAGCCGCAUCAAUUGCUCUAGACUUGUUAGUUAUUUGUUCUGGGUAUUGGUGUAUAGUCCUGCACUCACUAUACUAUCAUUUCCUUAUGAAAUUGUGUGUGUAAGUGGAUAAAUAGACAUAAAGUUAUAGGCUUCUUCCACUGUGAUAUUCCAGUGUUAGCAGGUCCAAGGUUUUUUAAUCCAUUACUAGCUAGGUCACCUAUGGCUCUUUCUUGUUCAGGAAGGUUUUCUAUUGUUCUGUCUUUGGAAGUAGACACUUCCUAGCUCCAUAACCCUAAUAACAAAAAUAACCACAAAUGUCACCUGUCUAUGUGUAACAUUUACAGUGCUAAAUGUGUUUGCAUGCCUUCAGUUUAUUAUAAGAUGAUCUUGCUUUAUUAAAUUUUCUUUUAGAUAUUUCUCUGGUUAUUUACAUUUACUUGCAUUUCACUGCUAAGUGUUUGGUAACAUAAUCACAUGCAAGAAUGGAGCUCUUUCUGACUUAAAUAAGACAUAAUAUGUUUGAUAUCUACUUCUGUAACUUUAAUUAAAAGAUCCUGUCUAUCUGUCUGUCUCUCUCCCCUCAAGGUUUUUGAUUACUGAUUCUGUUGUUAUUCAUUACAUCAAUUUAUAUGAAUAGCGUUGGCAGUGGGGACUUUGCUGCUUUUGUACAUUUUAAAGCUAUUUCUCUUCAAUUAUCAUCUUUUCACUUGAACUAAUAACUUUGUGUGCCUGUAAGAUUUUACUACGCAUCUGUCCUUUUUUUUUUCCUUUUUUAAUAAUGUUGGUAUCCUGGCCCUGUUGCGUGCAUCUCGAUUGUUCCACCAGGUACCGCUAUCUCUCACUAUCUUAGGUACCUGGUAACUCUUUUGCACCUUCCUGUUUCACUUUGACAAUGACUCCAUCAGCUUUUUGCCUCCUCGUUUGGAAAAUUAGCUUAAUGCUGCUUUAUUUUUGUCUUAUACCAUUACGUAUCUAUUGAGCAAAUGCUUUCAGGGGGCAUAUUGCUUUGUGGUCCACCCGGAGUGGGGAAGACUUUGUUAGCAAAGGCAGUGGCUGGUGAGGCAGGGGUGAACUUCUUCUCCAUUUCUGCGUCUCAGUUUGUUGAGAUAUAUGUUGGUGUUGGGGCUUCCCGUGUUCGAGCUCUCUACCAAGAAGCAAGAGACAAUGUAAGUCAAUUUUCUAUCUUCUCUACUAUCCACGGCAUUGUUCAGAGUCAUUUUGUGUUUUCUAUCUUCUCUGCUAUUCACGCAUCGUUCGGAGUCAUUUGUUUAUACACGUUUGGCCUUAUAGUUGGCUACUCUUAUUCCACCAGUGCUGUGAAUUAAAACUCUGCCAUUUCCCUCGUAUUCUGGAUGAACUGUUUGCUUUUGUCUUUUUAUGUUGCAGACCCCAGAUAGUUUGGUGUUGGUAGUAGUUGAUUGCUUGAUUGUCUGUUGUUGAAUGGUCUACUUCAUAGUCUUGUUUCUAAAUCUUGUCAAGCCAUAUUUGCUUUUAUUUAGAGUGUAUUUUUGUGUAACUUAUAAAGUCUCAACAAUAUAUGAGCAUUAUUAUGUGGUUUGGCAUAGGCGCCAUCAGUGGUGUUCAUUGAUGAGCUGGAUGCAGUUGGCAGAGAACGUGGUUUGAUCAAGGGGUCAGGUGGACAAGAACGUGAUGCAACUUUGAAUCAGGUUUCCUUGUCAUUUUACACUUAUGAGAAUCUGUCAUUUCAUCUGGUUGAGAUCUCAGGAAUUGAUUUAGAAUGUUCCCCUUUUUUCUCCAGCUUCUUGUAUGCUUGGAUGGUUUUGAAGGCAAAGGUGAAGUCAUCACUAUUGCUUCUACAAAUAGACCAGACAUAUUGGACCCAGCACUUGUUCGACCAGGGCGAUUUGAUCGAAAGAUUUACAUCCCAAAACCUGGUCUUAUUGGACGAAUUGAAAUUCUUAAGGUGCUAGUUGCAUAUGUACUUUGUCUGUUGAAAAGCUUAAUCUUUUGGGGGAUGUACAACAUCUUAAAACUCUUUUCAUGGGGAUAUAUAACAUCUUAGUAAGCUUGUUAUAUAGUUUGCUUCAUGCUUUUCUUACAUCUCAUUUCCUUGGAUUAGGUGCAUGCUCGUAAGAAGCCUAUGGCUCCUGAUGUGGACUAUAUGGCUGUUGCCAGUAUGACUGAUGGAAUGGUUGGUGCAGAGUUGGCCAACAUUGUUGAGGUUGCUGCUAUUAAUAUGAUGCGUGAUACAAGAACUGAGGUAAUAGCUUUUGGGUUCAGUCUGGGUAAGGAAAAAAUUCUAUCCUUGUAAUUAAGCAAUAUAUGUCGUUAGUAGUUGUUAUUGACUAUACAGAGACUUUUUGGCAUAGUCUUUAAGCAGCAUUAGGCCUUCUUAAAUCUGAGCUCUAAUUAAUUAGACAUCUGACAUUAUACGAGUAAGAGAGGCUGAUUUGCAGAUUCAGCAGAUACACGAACCACAUCCAGUGGACAUGCAGAUCCCAAUAGAGCACGAAGCAGUGGAGACAGAUACACCAAGUUGGGUGAAUUUACAUAUAUUGGAACUGAGCAACACUUAUGGAGUCGCUUUUAAGGUUUUGAGAGUGACACUCUGGCCCUUCUCAUGAGAAUUGAUGAGAGAAAAAUGGCAAUUGGGAAUAGAAAACAAGACAAAAGCAGCACAACUCCAAAAAGCAGAGGCAUAGGUAAAAACAAAUUAAAAAACCUAGAGUCUAGUCUCAACAAGGAGGUGGAAGGGGCAAGGAACAGGGGAGGAACUUAAGUUUGACUUUUAAAUGAAGGUAAAGAUUCUGCCAUGGAAUGUAAGGGGUUUAAACAGCUGGUCAUUUAACAGCUGGUUAACUAUAAGACCCUGGUUAAAACAUGUCUACGGAAAUGGAAGGUGGAUGUGGUUUGCUUACAGUAAACUAAGGUGCGCGAAGAAGUGGAAGAUGUGGCAAUCCAGUUAUGACCAUGUAGAUGGAUGAGAUGUGGUUUCAUGAAAGCAGAGGUUAGUAGAGGGGGUAUUUUAAUUAUGCGGGAUAGCAGGGUAUGGGUAUGCACCAAGUACCGAUUUUUCUAGAUGGAUUGAAGAUUUCGGUUUGCGUGAUCCUAUUCUAAUAGGGGGUAAAUGCACUUGGUCCAGGGGAUCUAACCACCAGUGCAAUGCAAGGCUAGAUAGAUUUCUAUACUCUAUGGAAUGGGAGGAAAACUUCAGGAACUUUAGACAAAGAAUUCUGCCUAGGGCAACUUCUGACCAUAAUCCAAUUAUUUUAGAGUGUGGAAUCUGGGAACAAAGGCAAUCUUACUUCAAAUUUGAAAAUUGGUGGCUCAAAGUGGAAGGAUUUAAUCAACUAGUACAUGAAUGGUGGAAUGGUUUUCUAGUUGAAGGGUGCCCUGAAUACAAAUUAUGCACCAAACUGAAGAUGCUUAAACUUAAGUUGAAAAAAUGGAGCAGAAAUGCCUUCUCUGAAAUGGCUAAUAGAAAAAAUAGUCUCCUUGAAGAGUUGUCUGUUUGGGACAAAACUUGGGAAAAUAGAGAGCUAUCACAAGAUGAAUAGAUGAUAAGGGCAACAAUUUUGGUAGAACUAGAAGUUUUGGCUAAGCAUGAAGAAGAAAGGUGGAGACAAAAGUCCAGAGCUCUUUGGCUCAAGCAAAGGGACAAGAAUACCAAGUUCUUUCAGAGAUCGGCAACAACUCAUAGAAGGUACAGCACAAUUGAUAGAUUGGUGGUAAGGGGGGAGGAAAUCCAGGAGCCGAAGGAAAUCAAAGAGGCUAUGAUAGAAUUUUAUUCUAAGUUAUACACAGAAUCUGAAACCUGGAGGCCUACAUUCAGAAUCUGAAACCUGGAGGCCUAUAUUUGAAUUUACAGGUUGUCGUACAAUCUCUGGUGAAGAAAAUGAAUGGCUUCAAAGACCAUUCACAGAAUCAGAAGUUUUACGGAUCUUGAAAUAGUGUGAUGGAGACAAAGCUCCUGGUCCUGAUGGAUUUACUAUGAGCUUUUUCAAGGCAUGCGGGGAAAUCUUGAAGGAUGAUUUAUGCAAACUUUACAUAAUUUCUGAAAGCGAGUUCCACAAGGAGUAGGAGUUGUACAAGUAGUGUCAACACAGUAAACUUGUACAAUAGAAUAGGAGUCCUAAGCAGUGUAUAAUACAAAGAGCAAGAGCUCUCUCAUCUAUAAAUUAGGCCGUGACAGUCGUGUAUACGCAAGAACAAAUAAUAUAAUCUUCAGCCUUUUUUCUAAGUCUACGUUUGCUAAAGUUUCUUCAUGGUAUCAGAGCCUUGGUUUUAAUCCAAAAUUAGUCUGUAUCCUGCACUCUGUAUCACGCACAAUGGCAAGAUCAUCAUUCUCCAGCCUCUCUCUCAUCCGCCUCCCUACGUCAACUCAUAGCCAUAUGUCCUAUUAAGCUAAAACCUUCAAACUACAUAGUCUGGAAAACCCAAAUCAAACAAUUGAUGCAGACGUUGAAAGUUGGCGAGAUUAUCGUAGAGGAUCCACCAUUAUCAGUUGUUAACGAAAAAGACAGAGAUAUCGAACCUAAGUUCCUUGAAUGGGAAGUAAGGGAUGUCUUAGUUCGAAGUUAGCUCACUUGAACCAUGACCGAGGAGUCCAUGUUCCUUAUCAUUGGAGGCACAUCGGCCCAACAAAUUUGGCAAAGCCUUGAGGACAAUUACCUACAAGCCAGCAAAUACAAAGAGUUUCAACUAAAACAACAAAUUCAGAGUAUUAGGAUGUGUUCAAAAAAUGUGGAUAAAUAUGUGAAAGAAUUCAAGGGAAUUUGUGAUAGUCUCGCUGCCAUACACAAGCCCUUAGAUGAAGAUAGCAAAGUUAUAAACUUUGCCUAGGGUCUUGGAAACAAAUACUAGACUCUGCGGACAGUCAUGUUGGGUAAGCCCCCGUACCCAACUUUUACUCAGUUUGUUAAUGCAUUGAGAGGAUUCGACAUGAGAGAAGACGAUAGUGAAAUAGAUAAUGUUGAUUAGGCCAUGUCCUUUCAAGCCCAAAAAACUCAAGGAAGUUUUGCAGAGGUAGAGGAAAUUCCUGUAGAGGACGGGGACAAGGUUGAGGAAGAGGUUAGUUUGGAUUAAGUGUAAUAACUACACAAGUGGGAGACAAUCUGAUUUUACUACAAGUAACCGGAAGAGCACUCCACCCCGAAUAGAUGCAUGCCAAAUUUAUGGACGAAACAAUCAUACGGUUGUGACUUGUUUCUACAGGUAGGACUACUCUUACCAAUCCCAACAAGAAACACCACAGGGGUUUUCGGCCUUGACCAUCAAUGAGACAUUUGACAACAAUCUCUAUAUGGAUUCUGGAGCAACUCACCAUAUGGUAAAGACAAUGGGUAAUUUGAAAAAUCCUACUUUAUUCAGAGGCACACAUUCAAUUAUUCUAGGUGA